rnacentral:rRNA from 1 species
GGACAGUGGUCGUGGAAGUUAAAAUCUGCUAAGGAGUGUGUAACAACUCACCUGCCAAAUCAACUAGCCCCAAAAAUGGAUGGCGCUAAAGCACGCGACCCACACCACGUCAUCUGAGCGAGCACCAUGUCCCGAUGAGUAGAAGGGCGCGGCGGCCGCUGCAAAACCCGGGGCGCGAGCCCAGGCGGAGCGACCGUCGGUGCAGAUCUUAGUGGUAGUAACAAAUGUUCAAAUGAGAAUUUGAAGGCCGAAGAGGAGAAAGGUUCCAUGUGAACAGCACUUGCACAUGGGUAAGCCGAUCCUAAAGGACGGGGUAACCCCGGCAAAGAGCACAACCACGCGCGUGCCCCGAAAGGGAAUCGGAUUAAGAUUUCUCGAGCCAGGACGUGGCAGUUGACGGCGAUGUUAGGAAGUCCGAAGACGUCGGAAGAGGCCUCGGGAAGAGGUAUCUUUU